AGAUUGAACGCUGGCGGCAGGCCUAACACAUGCAAGUCGAGCGGUAGAGAGGUGCUUGCACCUCUUGAGAGCGGCGGACGGGUGAGUAAUGCCUAGGAAUCUGCCUAGUGGUGGGGGAUAACGUUCGGAAACGGACGCUAAUACCGCAUACGUCCUACGGGAGAAAGCGGGGGACCUUCGGGCCUCGCGCCAUUAGAUGAGCCUAGGUCGGAUUAGCUAGUUGGUGAGGUAAUGGCUCACCAAGGCGACGAUCCGUAACUGGUCUGAGAGGAUGGAUCAGUACACACGUAGGAAC
rnacentral:rRNA from 1 species